ACCUCUAGUGUACCUGUUGUGGCGCUAGCUGCAUCGCAGGGUAGCUAUGUUCGGACGUGAUAAGCGCUGAAAGCAUCUAAGCGCGAAACACAUCUCAAGAUGAGAUCUCUUUUAAAGGUCGUUAAAGACGAUGACGUUGAUAGGCUACAGGUGUAAAGCCAGUGAUGGCAAAGCCGAGUAGUACUAAUUACCUGUAAGCUUUUAAUCC
rnacentral:rRNA from 1 species